UGAUUUAGUAAAAAUGUAAAAUUCUGUAUAUGUUGCUUUACACAAUAACAUACCUUAAUGAAAUUACAGUGUAACAUUUACCAGAUUAGAUCAUCUUUAAAUCUAGAGACUACAUUUACCAGAGGUAUUAUCUCUUUAAAUCUAGAGACUACAUUUACCAGAGGUAUUAUCUCUUUAAAUCUAGAGACUACAUUUACCAGAUGUAUUAUCUCUUUAAAUCUAGAGACUACAUUUACCAGAUGUAUUAUCUCUUUAAAUCUAGAAACUACAUUUACCAGAGGUAUUAUCUCUUUAAAUCUAGAGACUACAUUUACCAGAUGUAUUAUCUCUUUAAAUCUAGAGACUACAUUUAUCAGUAACAUUGCAGAACACCCAUGUCUUUGAUCAUAUGGUGCGCAUCAUAACCCUUAUAUGGAUCCUAGCAUGUGAGGCUGACACACAACACCAGGCUUUGUACUGGCCCUGUUUCUGCGUCAUGUUCUGAAGAGGUUUUAUCACAUCUGAUCUUAGAACUGGAAAUCUGACAAACAAGCACUAAGAUGGAAUGUGACAUUUAAUUAUACAUAAAAAUAUGCAAUGUCUGGUCAGUUAUAUGCAAAAAUGAUCAUUGCCAUAAAGUUGUGAGAGAUAAGGGAUAUUAUGACUUCCUAUGUCAGCAACAUAAAGGUUGACCUAAGGAAUGAACCUUCUUAUCAUGUUUUAUUGAUAUCUAAUGAAUAUGUCAAGAAACCACAGAAUGUUGCAUUAUUUAUAACCAAG
ensembl:lncRNA